CAAAUUUAUUUAUGUGUAAAACAUUAGUUUUGCCAAUACAUGUAACAUCAGAUAAUAAUGAUGAAUCAUGAUUUGAUUAUUGACAUUUUGCAAGUGCAAUUGAAUUCGACCAAUGUCAAGUUCCAAUAGAAUACAAAACCUCAUGAGUAAUCUGAUAUGAUAAAAAUUAAUUAAAAAUUAAUCUAUUUCUGGGUAACUAUCAAUAACAUCACAUGGUGCUGGUAUUAUUGACUCUUAUGCUCUCUCCAAUGUGCCAGUUAUUGCUUUUAUUGUUUAACAUUUGCUAAUCUAUGAAUAUUGAAUAAGAAUAAAUAUUUCAACAAAAGGAUGACUAGGAAUUAUUAAGAUAAAUUCAUUUACGAGUGAAAAAGAUAUUUUUUGAUAUUUCAAGUGUUGGACAGACAGCAGUACAUUUACAAUCUUGAGAUUUCUCAGAUGUAAAAAAAAAGGUGACCUGCAAUUAGUUGGGUAAAUGUCAUCACAAAGGACAAAUGAAAACGAUUUUGGGUUUUUAUUGACACAGAGCAUUUACGA